GGAGUGUCCAAACAAACGUUUACCGGGUAUUAUGAUGGCGGGGGAAAGAGAAUUUCACUUUAUAUCAUAUUGUAUGUAUAUACCGAUCGCGUGUUUACGAACCCUAUCUGAGUUCGAGAGUUUAAGUCGAAACCGAACCGAGUUGGUUUUAAGGGUUAUACAAAACAUAACGGUAUCUAUAACUCGUCGGUUCAAACACGAUACCACUCCAAAGUAGUUAUAGUUAUCCAAGUGUAUAAACCUAAACCCUAAUACAUGUAGUCAAUGAAAAACCACCACGGGUUUGGACAAAUAAGAUGGUAAAAUCUUAACCCACCCGUUAAUCCAAACCUGAUAUCGAUCCAAAGAAGUUAUCUUAAUUUAGUUCAAAUGUAAACCCAAAAUAAAGUGUCCUAUUAUAUAAUAGUUGAUGAGGAACCAUGACGGAUCGCGUAUUUACCUAUCGUUUGGGCAGAAAUCGGAUAGGAUCUGUAAAUACUCGUACGGCGUACCGACUAUAUUAGCUAUUAUUACAUUGCACCCAUUGUCCGACGGGUAUACUCCGACGUACAAAAACCGAACCGCGGUAAUAACCAAACAGUCGGUACAAUAAUUUCGUAUCAACUUUAUAA